rnacentral:rRNA from 1 species
GACGAACGCUGGCGGCGUGCUUAACACAUGCAAGUCGAACGGAAAGGCCUCUUUCGGGGGGUACUCGAGUGGCGAACGGGUGAGUAACACGUGAGUAACCUGCCCUUGACUUUGGGAUAACUUCAGGAAACUGGGGCUAAUACCGGAUAGGAGCUCCUGCUGCAUGGUGGGGGUUGGAAAGUUUCGGCGGUGGGGGAUGGACUCGCGGCUUAUCAGCUUGUUGGUGGGGUAGUGGCUUACCAAGGCUUUGACGGGUAGCCGGCCUGAGAGGGUGACCGGCCACAUUGGGACUGAGAUACGGCCCAGACUCCUACGGGAGGCAGCAGUGGGGAAUAUUACACAAUGGGUGGAAGCCUGAUGCAGCAAAGCCGUGUGCGGGAUGACGGCCUUCGGGUUGUAAACCGCUUUCGCUCAUGACGAAGCUUUGUGUGACGGUAGUGGGUAAAGAAGCACCGGCUAACUACGUG